rnacentral:rRNA from 1 species
GCGGCAACAGCUCAAAUUUGAAAUCUGGCUCUCGGGCCCGAGUUGUAAUUUGUAGAGGAUGCUUUUGGUGAGGUGCCUUCCGAGUUCCCUGGAACGGGACGCCAUAGAGGGUGAGAGCCCCGUCUGGUUGGACACCGAUCCUCUGUAAAGCUCCUUCGACGAGUCGAGUAGUUUGGGAAUGCUGCUCUAAAUGGGAGGUAUAUGUCUUCUAAAGCUAAAUACCGGCCAGAGACCGAUAGCGCACAAGUAGAGUGAUCGAAAGAUGAAAAGAACUUUGAAAAGAGAGUUAAAAAGUACGUGAAAUUGUUGAAAGGGAAGCGCUUGUGACCAGACUUGGGCUUGGUUGAUCAUCCGGGGUUCUCCCCGGUGCACUCUUCCGGCUCAGGCCAGCAUCAGUUCGCCCUGGGGGAUAAAGGCUUCGGGAAUGUGGCUCUCUCCGGGGAGUGUUAUAGCCCGCUGCGUAAUACCCUGUGGCGGACUGAGGUUCGCGCAUUCGCAAGGAUGCUGGCGUAAUGGUCAUCAGUGACCCGUCUUGAAACACGGACCAAGGAGUCGUCUUCGUAUGCGAGUGUUCGGGUGUCAAACCCCUACGCGAAAUGAAAGUGAACGCAGGUGAGAGCUUCGGCGCAUCAUCGACCGAUCCUGAUGUUAUCGGAUGGAUUUGAGUAAGAGCAUACGGGGCCGGACCCGAAAGAAGGUGAACUAUGCCUGUGUAGGGUGAAGCCAGAGGAAACUCUGGUGGAGGCUCGCAGCGGUUCUGACGUGCAAAUCGAUCGUCAAACAUGGGCAUGGGGGCGAAAGACUAAUCGAACCUUCUAGUAGCUGGUUUCCGCCGAAGUUUCCCUCAGGAUAGCAGUGUUGAACUCAGUUUUAUGAGGUAAAGCGAAUGAUUAGGGACUCGGGGGCGCUAUUUAGCCUUCAUCCAUUCUCAAACUUUAAAUAUGUAAGAAGCCCUUGUUGCUUAAUUGAACGUGGGCAUCG